UUUCUACAUUCUUCGUUUACACCAUUACGUGUUUUGGGCUGUUACAGCUUUCAUUCUUCAUUCUCUUGAUGUGAAAAAUGGGGGAGUAAAUUUAAUGAUUCGCUAUUAAUAUACAUUAGGUAACGUUCAUAAAAAUAAAAUAUCGGACAUGCAGGUAAUAAAUUGUAGGGUGUAUUCAACUGCCAUGCUUGUCUCCAGUUUAAACCAUCCGAGAUGCUUUUUUUUCCUCUAAAAUUUGUACCAUGUCAAUAUGUUAUGAAGGUAUAAAUGCUUAUCAUAAUGUUUGCUUGUCUUUUGAAGGCCCUGUAUUAUUCUAGGAUUAGGAACCAAUCAGUUUAGCACAACCCAGUGGAAGACUUAAAAUGAUCAAAGACCAUGAGGUGCCAAGGGGCCUGAUGGAUUAUUCUCAGGCUUUGAGGAGGGGUGGUGGAAAAAGAUGGGUUGAGGAAGAUAAAAAAGUUGGAAAGGUGAGGAAAUGGUUUCGGACUGGGAUUGCAAAAUUGGUUUUGAUUGAGAAAUGACGGUUACUGUGGAAGUACUCAGGAGCAGGAUAAGUAGAGGUUCGGAGCUUGAGCAAGAAGAUUAUCAAGUGCAGCCAUGGAGUUUCCAAUUGGUGGGAAGGAAGAAGGAUAGAGUUCACUGGGGGCUGGGUUACAGUUUUAAAUGUGCCUCCUUUUCUUAGAUUAAUUGAGUUUUUCUUCUCAUUAGCAGAUUGGUGUAGAGUGCUGGAGGAGCGUGAAAGGCUGGGAUGGGAAGAGUUAUGGCUGGAUGAAGUUUGCUUUAGGGCUUGGGGAAACUCUGAUGGCUUCACUUUAUUUUGAUAGUCUGCUUUGUUGGAGGAUUAAGAUUCCGAGAAAA